AACGUAGGACACAAGCGUUAUCCGGAGUUACUGGGCGUAAAGAGUGUGUAGGCGGUGCUCUAAGUUCGGUGUGAAAUCUCCUGGCUUAACUGGGAGGGUGCGCCGGAAACUGGAAUGCUCGAGCGUGGGAGAGGAAAGCGGAAUUCCUGGUGUAGCGGUGAAAUGCGUAGAUAUCAGGAGGAACACCUGUGGCGAAAGCGGCGCACUGGACCAUAACUGACGCUGAGGCGCGAAAGCUAGGGGAGCAAACAGG
rnacentral:rRNA from 1 species